rnacentral:lncRNA from 1 species
ACCAGAAAGAUUCUGUGUCUUGAGAUUUUUGCCUAAGCUAAGGGUAUUUCCUGAGACGUGGGAGGAGAAGCCUACUUAAAGUCAAAUAUAUUGAGUUUGAGCAGUAAACUUUUAUUUAUUCAGACUGAGUAAGACAUCACAAGUGGCAAAUGGUGGCUGAAUGACUUCCCUCUGACUCAGUUUCCCAUCUGCAAAAUGGAAAGGGUGCUAAAUUAUUGUCAAAGCAAUUGGAACAUGACUUACAAGAAGAAAAGAAGCUUUACAGAAGGCUACUAG